GGGUGGUCCCACGCCUGCAGGGAACCACUCCCUCUCACCCGUCCCCUCCCCUGAAUUCCCCCCCUCCUGCAAACCAGGAGCCCUACCCAAGCACCCAGCCCGCUCUGUGACCACUUUGCUCAGCCCAGACGAGCAGCAACACAGAAAAAUAGUUUAACAACUCAGAGCCGAGGAGGGCGGGAGAGAGGGGGGAGAAAAGGCCCCGCAGACUUGGUUGUUUGAGAAAUAGGAAACAGAGUCACAGAAUCCUAAAAGUUGUGAGUGGAGAGAGGAGCUUUCGUUGGGCUGCGGAGAGACGGCAACAGGACACGUUUUCAAGGAUGCUCAAGCUGGUCUGAGGCUUCUUGAGCGCAAAGCCUGCGCAGAAGCCACGAAUACAAGAACCACAGCAUCCGACUGAGGGCCUUGGCCUUGUUCGAGCAAUCCAAGGUAAGCGUCCUUAGACAAUAACGCAAGACCACAAAACACAACUGUUACCGGUUAAGUAGAUAAACGAAAACAACUUUUCAACAACUCUAAUUCAAGACCAUCAAGUGAGCGUCACCUUAAAACAGUGUUCCAUAACGCGGCCAGACGCCAAACCUCUGUUUGUUGCAAAGCCUCCUCCGAACCUGGAACUGUGAAAUGGCAGUCUUGUGGAAACCUGACACACGGCUGCCUUUGCGCCUGGUGCCCCCUCUUUGCAGACCUCCUUCCUCCCCCAGACAACACCUGUUCUGCUCAAAAUCAAAAGGCCAGCCAAGCCUACACUGCUGUCCUCAUAUCCUCCUUGCUCAACACACAUACCAGGCAAUAAUAAUACAUGACGGAUAAACAAGCUCAACUGUUUAUCUUUGCCCCCCUCCCUCCAUAGUUUCCUUCGAUGCUUCUGGCAAUAAUCCAUUUUGAUUUUAUCUGCAAAUAUUCGUUUGAUGAUAUUGUUAAUCAAAUUAAAGGACAUGUGACAUCAGGAACAUCAAUUUCAGGCACACCAGCGAAUGGAAGAGAAAGAAUGGAGGACUGGCUGAGUUUCAUAUUGCCUGAUGGCUUUGAGUCACAGACUGCCCGCUUGUCUUAUGAUCUCAAGAACAGAGGCUUACUUAUUAUAGCAUCUGUUUACAACACAAUUAAUAGUCACACGAUCUUUGUCAAGUGAAUUGUUUCUCUGUGCUCCAUUUCCAAAAGAGGUUAAGCUAUGCAAGGGCAUAUGUUAUGCUUGUCUCGAGAGGGAUUUUUGUACUUGAGACCAACAAAUAUACAACUAAAACACGUGAGGCAGGCAUUCAAAAUGUCCUAUAGUUUUUGUAAGCUGCUGAGGAAACUCCUUAAUGAUAGCCCGGUAUUUUAAAACGUACUCAGGGUUUCCUCCCACCCCUUUCUGUUAACCUGUAUGCCUACAUUUCACUGAGUAGUUUCUCAACCACACCAUUGCUUCCUUUCAAGGUUUCUUGAACAUUUCCGCGCCUCUAAACCCCCCUUUACUAUCCAAGUUCCUUCCUUCCCUCCCCACUUCCGUGCGCUGCAAGAAGUAUGUCAAAACAGUUCAAAUAAUUCACUCUCAACCAUGCGCUGCCGCGUGGGGAAUAGAAAGAGAGAGUGGUUUGCAACGCAGUUACGUAACAAAAUAGAGAAAGUAAGAGGGUGUGAUCUGAAAUUAUGCAUUGGAGCGAGACAUUCAGUAAUUAGUUUUCUCUCCGCCUGCUGGUUAUUUUUGUGAAUACGAAUGUUGUCUUUCUCUUUCCUCUGGGUGAUUUUAUUUUUCAAAAAACCAAUGUGCGAUAUUAAUAUGUGCCUAAUUUGAGAGUGACACUACUUCAAAUCCACUGCCCCCCUCUGAAACUGAACAGUGCAGUACAGUUUUAAGUAGUAAUGAAAAGCAUGUGAAAUCCAAAAAAAAGUGAGGGAACCAAGAUCAUGUGAAAGAUUUGCCAGCUAUUCUCGUCUGUUUUCAUUGACUGAAUGAAGAGAGGAGGCGGGUAUGUAAAAUGAGCUGCGCUAUGGCCCAUGGGGAAAACAGACAUUCUUUUGGUUAAGUUGAAAUGCUUUUCGCCUGGUUAAGAUACUAUAACUGGCAGUGUUAUUUGACCUAAGUGGAAUUUGAUCUGCUCGAGUUAAUUGGGUAAAGCUGACUUUGUGGAACUGCUAUCUUCCCCUUUUGUCCGUUCCAUACACAUUUCUGUUGUGUUUGAGAUAUAUAUAAUGUCAUGGAUACAGUAAUGAGUUGUCGAUAGCUUUAUGUUAAUAUCUUCACUCAAUUCAUACCGGCAGAGACAAAGAGAAAGCGACAGAAGGGACAAGAUCAGGUUGUGGAUGCGUGCAGGGCUUGCAGUCAUAUUUUGCAGACACCAUUCCUAUCUUAUCCUUUUAUAACUCUCAGUGGCCCUGGCUCUUGUUACUCUGUCCUGAGAGUGUGCAAAAGGCUAUUUCAAAGAGCAGGCUUAAAUUACCCCAAAGCAUUGCAUGUAUUUUCCAGUAUACCCAAUCAUGCGGGACCAGUCAAUUUAUUGACAUGCACUAAUUGGUCUAUUGCUUGUUGUAUGCCCCUUGGACAGGGUGCAGCGGUGUACUAUGGAGACCAGUUUGCCAAAAACCAUGGCGGUCUAAACGCUUUGUUUAUUAAUCCUUUUUUCCACACACCUUGACUUUCGGAAAAAAAUAAUGUGUUAAUAGUUGGGAUACAAUUCCGUCAGGAGAUAAACUAGUCUAUAUAACUCUCACACACACACACACACACACACACACACACACACACACACACACACACACACACACACACACACACACACACACACACACACACACUAUACAGUUACACAAGGAGCUACAUGCAACUCCAGCUACAGCAUAUUGUCUCAAGUCCUGUGAAGUAGCCAAAACAUCUGUGGCGUCUUCUUUUAACCUUCUCUUGUUUGAUUCAUUAUAUACUGGCAGUGUGGCAAGAGUGCCAGACGACAGUUGAGCGGUUAAUGCUUAAUAUCAACCCUUUGGGAACAGCGGUUUCUGUAUCUCUGCGUCAGGUUCCUCUUGUUCCUAGCAGCUUGUUAUCAUGCAGAGCAGAGUUCUGGCUUCAGUGAAUGGGGAAGGGAGCCUCAUUGUUAGAAUCAUCUUAUUUACCGUCGUGCAAAAUAUCAUGGAAAAAUAUGGAGAAAAUUAAAUUGUCGUUAUUUCUCAGAUUUUCAUUUGAAAGAUUAUUUUCUCAGUUUUCCUAAAAAGAGAAAGUCUAAAUUAUCCUUAAAUCUCUUUUCAGGUAACAUGUUAUUCCAUGUUUUGUGGCAGUUUCUUAUGAGUUUAUAUGUCUAAUGUUGCCUUUUUCACGUGUAUGUGAUGUAAACAAUCAUGCGGUUUACUAUGUACUAUCUGAGCAAUCCAACUACACCAUCAUAAUUUAACACCUAAAUAAUUGGAGGACGUCAAUUGAAAUAGAUCACACAAAGAAAGAAAGACACAAUACAUGUGUCUGUCUUUGUUUGUGUGAUCUAUUUCAAUUGUAAAAACGCAUAAUUGAAACCAACGUAUACAUGAAGAGUGUAGUUGUAUUUUGCAAUUCCCUGAAUAAGUAUGGUGCAGAGUGAUAAAACUAGUAAAGAGGUUCUAGUGUCUGUUUCCAAGUUGUCAAAUCAUCCCCCCCUAAAUACACAGUCACUGCUAUGAUUCAUACCCUUUUCAUAUCCAGUGUUCUGCCAUCCUGUGGAUUGGCUUUUGCCAUUUUGACCGUGUCAAAUGAUAAUAAUAAUACUUUUAUAUUGCGCUUUUCUAAAUACGUAAAGAUGCUUUUCAUAAGGCAAAGAAAGACAGACAGAACAAAACAAAACCAGGCUAUGCUGCACUACUAGUCCACCAUGGUAAUACAAUGUUGUAAAUAUCCCAAAACUUUUCCCGUUGUUGUCAUGUCUAGAAUGACUGCUGCCACAUCCUCUGGCAUGGGAUGAUCUCUGAUCAUUAGGGAAACAUAUAUCACGUACGUGUUAGUGUGCACCACAGCUCUGUGAGUGUUCACAACACAAGGCAGCUUAACCAGCAUUGUUUUCUCUAUUGCCAAUGGAGCCGGGGGGUAGCCAAACAAUCCGCCUUUUUUCUCCGGGGCAGGGUGGGGUGUGACUCAAAGCAAAUGUGCAAAACACAGAGUGCACACGGGGCGAGAAAGAGGGUUAGAGCCU
ensembl:lncRNA